ACGGAAGGCAGCAGUGAGGAAUAUUGGUCAAUGGGCGGAAGCCUGAACCAGCCAAGUCGCGUGAAGGAAGACGGUAUUAUGUAUUGUAAACUUCUUUAGACGCAGAGAAAUAAGGGGCUCGCGAGCUCUGAUGCCAGUAUGCGUAGAAUAAGGAUCGGCUAACUCCGUGCCAGCAGCCGCGGUAAUACGGAGGAUCCGAGCGUUAUCCGGAUUUAUUGGGUUUAAAGGGUGCGCAGGCGGCGCUUUAAGUCAGUGGUCAAAUCGUGAGGCUCAACCUCAUCCCGCCAUUGAUACUGGAGCGCUUGAUUGCGGUUGAGGUAGGCGGAAUUCGUCGUGUAGCGGUGAAAUGCAUAGAUAUGACGAAGAACCCCGAUUGCGUAGGCAGCUUACCAAGCCGUAAAUGACGCUCAUGCACGAAAGUGCGGGGAUCGAACAGGAUUAGAUACCCUGGUA
rnacentral:rRNA from 1 species